CGUCCUGCUGCGCCAGGAGCCCUUUUGUCCCCGGUUUGUUUCCUGAGUGCCCAGGCUACGCGCCCUCCACCGGCGAGCGGAGCCAGAGCCGGGGCCUCCGGAGCCGCUGCCUCCCGCCCACAGGUGCAGCCACCACACUAUGGGCUCCGACGUCUGGGUCGGGCCGUGGCGGCCUCACCGACCCCGCGGCCCCAUCGCCGCGCUGUACCGCGGUCCCGGGCCCAAGUACAAGCUGCCGCCCAACACCGGCUACCUUCUGCACGACCCUUCGCGGCCGCGCGCUCCCGCCUUCACUUUUGGUCUGCGCCUCCCGGCGCAGCAGACGACGUGCGGCCCGGGGCCGGGCCACCUGGUGCCGCCUCGAAUGACCGCGCGCGGCGCUGGCGGCGGCCCAGCUUACUCCAUCCAGGGCCGCCUGCGACACUCGACACCCUUCCGCACUCCCGGACCGGGCAGGUACUUCACAGAAUGCGCGGGGAACGCCACGUACCCCAGCGCACCUCGCUACACCAUCGCCCCCCGCAACUGGGGUGUUCAAGCCUGGCAGCAGACCCCAGGCCCAGCGACCUACACGGUGCCCUCCCUCCUGGGCCCGCGUGUCGUCAGCAAGGUCUCGGCGCCCACCUACUCCAUCUACGGCCGCAGCGCGGUGGGCAGCUGCUUCGAGGACCUCAGCAAGAGCCCGGGACCCUGCGCCUACCACGUGGUAAACCCCGGGAUCUACAAGACUCGCGCACCCCAGUACACGAUGCUGGCGCGGACUUCGCCCCCGCGGGACAACACGCUCAAGCCAGGGCCUGCGGAUUACAACGUGAACCAGGUGGUCUGGAGCUCAAGGACGAGGGUCCUGGGCGGGGUGCGAGACCUAGGGCCCGCGAGGAUCGGGGCCUCGGGAACCGCGGGCCCCGGGAGGUCAGCGGAGUCUCCUGGGUCCGCAGCACCGGAAGCCCAGCGGCUGGAGCUUCGGAAUCCGCCACUCGGACUACGUAGCCCGGAUGGUGACCGACGCAGACAAGUGACUCGGCAGGCGGGCAGCCCUUUGCUUAAAGUUUCUGAGCCAGCAGCGACUCUGCCUCUCUCUCUGCGCCGUACGCAAGGGCAGGCCUUGUAGAAGUGGUGGAGGGGGGACGAGGACGCGCGCCGCUGGGUGGGGAACGGACGCCGAGCGCGCGGACGGUGGAGAGCCGCAAGCCCUGCGCCACAGACCGGAAGUCCUGCGCUCGCCGGGUAGCUCGAGAUUGGCAGCAGCCCGGGAAGCCCCGCCCCCAGCCGCCACUAUUUCAGAUCUCGCGCCCGGGGGCCAGUGACCGGGUGUGCGCAGCCUCAGCGUCUCGGCACCUGGUGGCUGGCGACGCGCGGCGAACUGUAAAGGAAUCGGAGCCAUACGGGCGAGGGCUGCCAUAAUAAAUAGGUGCCAAUGAUCAGUGGAAGAGGUCUGGGGCACACAGGUGGCACCCUGGAUAAGCUAGAGUCCAUUCCUGGAUUCAAUGUCAUCCAGAGCCCUGAACAGGUAUGGGUAGGGGCAUGGACUGGUCCUUGAUGUGGGCUGCCAGGAGACAUGGGCCAUUAUAACUGAUAAACAGUUUACAAGAACUGAAAGGGUGAUAGUCACUGAACUUGAGUCAGAGUCAUCAGCAGAACUUUGACCAAGAUCAUUCCUGGGGACUUGGGUUGCUAAUCAUUAAACAGCCACUGAUCUUUAA